rnacentral:rRNA from 1 species
GGAAUUUUCCGCAAUGGGCGAAAGCCUGACGGAGCAACGCCGCGUGAGGGAUGAAGGCCUCUGGGCUGUAAACCUCUUUUAUCAAGGAAGAAGAUCUGACGGUACUCGAUGAAUAAGCCACGGCUAAUUCCGUGCCAGCAGCCGCGGUAACACGGGAGUGGCAAGCGUUAUCCGGAAUUAUUGGGCGUAAAGCGUCCGCAGGCGGUCUGUCAAGUCUGCUGUUAAAGCGUGGAGCUUAACUCCAUUUCGGCAGUGGAAACUGACAGACUAGAGUGUGGUAGGGGCAGAGGGAAUUCCCGGUGUAGCGGUGAAAUGCGUAGAUAUCGGGAAGAACACCAGUGGCGAAGGCGCUCUGCUGGGCCACAACUGACGCUCAUGGACGAAAGCCAGGGGAGCGAAAGGGAUUAGAUACCCCUGUAGUC